UUAGAUGAUCCAACUCCUUAAUUAUUAUUAAUACAGAUGAUUUUUUUGUUAUUUAUUUAUUGUUUCAUUUGUGAAAAUUCCUGUAUUUCCUUUCAUAUAUGUUUGCUUUCAAAGAAGACCCAAUUUUUUCUCUCCACGCCUUCCCCAUGGACGAGUAAGUGAAUGCUAGAGUUGAAUUCCACAAUGAAAAGAGAAUAAGGUUCCAUUUUCUACUCCACCUUAAACCCAACCCAUCGUUACUCAACCUGUUGCAAAUAUGAGGAUGGUGCUAUUCACGCCUCUCUUGAAUCUGAUGCUUCCUGCCUGAGAUGAUAAACAAGUUGUUGUUUUAACUCAUGGAGAUCUACUUUCCUUUGCGGACCGUGUUCGUGUACAUGGUCAUUUAGGAAAUCUAUUAGGUAAGGGUAUGGCGAGGGGCAGACCGGGGAGGGGCAAGAAGGAUGCGUGAAGGCCAUGUGGACGCGUCUAGUUUCCUUAUGCUUCCGCUGACGUGUUUGUUAAUUUCUAUUUCUUUUGAGAAUUAAAUGGAGUCAUGGUUAGAACAUUUGAUUGGUUGUUUUGUUUUACUGAUUCUGUGAACUAUAUUUCGAAACUUUUGGAAACGUGAUUGAAAAUUAGAGCCCGAAACUAUUUUUGUGAUAUUGUGAACAUUUUUAAUGAAUCGUAAACAGGUCUAUUUAUGAGUUUAUGUGUUUUACUGUGAGUCUAGCCGUAAGUGAUGA